ensembl:snRNA U6 U6 spliceosomal RNA
GUGCUUAAUUUGGCAUCAGAUACACUUAAAUUGAAAUAAUACGGAGAAGAUUAGUGUGGCCCCUGAGCAAAAAUGAAUGACAUGUAAAUUUGUGAAAUAUUCCAUAUUUUU